CCUACGGGUGGCAGCAGUGAGGAAUAUUGGUCAAUGGCCGGAAGGCUGAACCAGCCAUGCCGCGUGAAGGUCAGUGCCCUAUGGGCGUUAAACUUCUUUUGUGCGGGAGCAAUAAUGGUCACGUGUGGCCAGACGAGAGUACCGUACGAAUAAGCAUCGGCUAACUCCGUUCCAGCAGCCGCGGUAAUACGGGGGAUGCAAGCGUUAUCCGGAUUUAUUGGGUUUAAAGGGUGCGUAGGCUGUGAGGUAAGUCAGCGGUGAAAUGCCCCCGCUCAACGGGGUGAAGUGCCAUUGAUACUGGCUGGCUGGAAUGCGGAUGCAGUGGGAGGAAUGUGUGGUGUAGCGGUGAAAUGCAUAGAUAUCACACAGAACACCGAUUGCGAAGGCAUCUCACGAAUCCGCGAUUGACGCUGAUGCACGAAAGCGUGGGUAUCAAACAGGAUUAGAUACCCUGGUAGUC
rnacentral:rRNA from 1 species